AGCGAACGCUGGCGGCAGGCCUAACACAUGCAAGUCGAACGAACCUUUCGGGGUUAGUGGCGGACGGGUGAGUAACACGUGGGAACGUGCCUUUAGGUUCGGAAUAACUCAGGGAAACUUGUGCUAAUACCGAAUGUGCCCUUCGGGGGAAAGAUUACUCGCCUUUAGAGCGGCCCGCGUCUGAUUAGCUAGUUGGUUGAGGUAAUGGCUCACCAAGGCGACGAUCAGUAGCUGGUCUGAGAGGAUGAUCAGCCACAUUGGGACUGAGACACGGCCCAAACUCCUACGGGAGGCAGCAGUGGGGAAUCUUGCGCAAGGGGCGAAAGCCUGACGCAGCCAUGCCGCGUGAAUGAUGAAGGUCUUAGGAUUGUAAAAUUCUUUCACCGGGGACGAUAAUGACGGUACCCGGAGAAGAAGCCCCGGCUAACUUCGUG
rnacentral:rRNA from 1 species